rnacentral:rRNA from 1 species
GAUGAACGCUGGCGGCGUGCCUAAUACAUGCAAGUCGAGCGAACGGACGAGAAGCUUGCUUUUCUGAUGUUAGCGGCGGACGGGUGAGUAACACGUGGAUAACCUACCUAUAAGACUGGGAUAACUUCGGGAAACCGGAGCUAAUACCGGAUAAUAUUUUGAACCGCAUGGUUCAAAAGUGAAAGACGGUCUUGCUGUCACUUAUAGAUGGAUCCGCGCUGCAUUAGCUAGUUGGUAAGGUAACGGCUUACCAAGGCAACGAUGCAUAGCCGACCUGAGAGGGUGAUCGGCCACACUGGAACUGAGACACGGUCCAGACUCCUACGGGAGGCAGCAGUAGGGAAUCUUCCGCAAUGGGCGAAAGCCUGACGGAGCAACGCCGCGUGAGUGAUGAAGGUCUUCGGAUCGUAAAAACUCUGUUAUUAGGGAAGAACAUAUGUGUAAGUAACUGUGCACAUCUUGACGGUACCUAAUCAGAAAGCCACGGCUAACUACGUG